rnacentral:rRNA from 1 species
GAUGAACGCUGGCGGCGUGCCUAAUACAUGCAAGUCGAGCGAACGGACGAGAAGCUUGCUUCUCUGAUGUUAGCGGCGGACGGGUGAGUAACACGUGGAUAACCUACCUAUAAGACCGGGAUAACUUCGGGAAACCGUAGCUAAUACCGGAUAAUAUUUUGAACCGCAUGGUUCAAAAGUGAAAGACGGUCUUGCUGUCACUUAUAGAUGGAUCCGCGCUGCAUUAGCUAGUUGGUAAGGUAACGGCUUACCAAGGCAACGAUGCAUAGCCGACCUGAGAGGGUGAUCGGCCACACUGGAACUGAGACACGGUCCAGACUCCUACGGGAGGCAGCAGUAGGGAAUCUUCCGCAAUGGGCGAAAGCCUGACGGAGCAACGCCGCGUGAGUGAUGAAGGUCUUCGGAUCGUAAAACUCUGGUAUUAGGGAAGAACAUAUGUGUAAGUAACUGUGCACAUCUUGACGGUACCUAAUCAGAAAGCCACGGCUAACUACGUG